AGUUGGUUGCAACAUCCACCGAGUCAAGAGGGGGUGGGGAGGGGGUUUGGCAUAAACGCCUGGCUGCAGAAAUUUCUCUUUAUUUACAAAAUAACCAGCCAUCUCUGAGCACAUCUGUCAAUACCUUCUCCCACGCCUCUGUCAUCGGGCUCAGCAUAAUGCUCGCUGCCUCAAUGGAGGAAUUUGCCAGAGAAAUGCCAAGUCUAUACCUGCAGUGGCAUUGCCAAGUUCUCCCAGCCAUGCACUUUGACAAAAGAAAAAAAAUGUGGCUAAGGAAAAUGCUAGUCCUUAGAGAGCUGGCGUGGAGAACUGCGCAGUGAUACAGUCAAGUCUCCAACCUCAAGCAUCCUGAAGAUAUCGGUGGUGUCCCCGCCUCAGGACUCAGGGAGCGCGACCUUUGCCUGGGUGUUGAUACAUUGCUCCCAGACCAGGCAUCUGAAACACUAAAGCGGACUAUGGGACUGAGUUGUAUGCAGAUUUGAAAAAAAUAUCAAAGGAAAAAGAAUGUCACUUAUUCUGGUAGCUUGCGAUCUAGAAGAACAGACUGGAUGGCUGCCCCAUGGAAAUGUGGAGAAACACGAGUUCAUGUUCUGCUUGCUCAACUGCAUGGUUCAUGUUGACUUCUUGGAGGAGAUGGCUCUAAAGUGGAUGCACAAGUGAGCGGGUUAAGAAUGCACCCUAACAGGAUGGGUAAAGUGCACUUCCUUGGCUGGAGCAGCAACAGAAAUGACAAAGUCUUUAUGCCUGCUAACCUUUCUGCUUCCCCUUCUUCCAUUGCACUGUGAGCAACAUCACAGCUUCCAGUAAAUGAUUUAUGUAGCUGUAUCUUUAAGAGGCUGUAUUUUUCUCAUGGACGUGCGUCUCUCUGUAGCAAAGUAAACAUCUGCUUAUUUGCUUCGAA